ACAUUCGGGUAGUAAUAUUCGGAUGGACUGAGUGGCGAAAGGGGCAGUAAUGCGUGGGUAACCUACCUCGGGGAUGGGCAUAGCCGUUCUAACGGACGGGUAAUUCCCAGCGAUUUGGCGAGACGGCAUCGUUUUGCCAAGAAAUGGAUUCCGCCUGGAGAGGGGCUCACGUCGUAUUAGCUAGUUGGCGGGGUAAUGGCCCACCAAGGCAAAGAUGCGUAGCGGGUGUGAGAGCACGACCCGCGCCACUGGCACUGAGACACUGGCCAGACACCUACGGGUGGCUGCAGUCGAGGAUCUUCGGCAAUGGGCGCAAGCCUGACCGAGCGACGCCGCGUGUGCGAUGAAGGCCUUCGGGUUGUAAAGCACUGUCGAGGGGGAUAAAACCGCAAGGUUGAUAGAUCCCUGGAGGAAGCACGGGCUAAGUUCGUGCCAGCAGCCGCGGUAAGACGAACCGUGCGAACGUUGUUCGGAAUCACUGGGCUUAAAGGGCGCGUAGGCGGUCUGCCAAGUCAGGGGUGAAAUCCUGCAGCUCAACUGUAGAAGUGCCUUUGAUACUGGCAGACUCGAGGGAGAUAGGGGUGGGUGGAACUUCUGGUGGAGCGGUGAAAUGCGUUGAUAUCAGAAGGAACGCCGGUGGCGAAAGCGACCCACUGGAUCUUUUCUGACGCUGAGGCGCGAAAGCUAGGGGAGCAAACGGGAUUAGAUACCCCGGUAGUCCUAGCCCUAAACGAUGGGUACUAGAUUGUAGACUGAUCAUGGGUUUACAGUCGAAGCAAAAGUUAUAAGUACCCCGCCUGGGGAGUAUGGUCGCAAGGCUG
rnacentral:rRNA from 1 species